GUUGAAUGAAGAUUUACUGAGAAUAAAGAAAACAGAAAUGAAAGGAAAACAGAGGAGUACUGAAAAGUUUAAAAACUUGUAGGUCAGGAAACAUCAUAAGCAACACUGAAAGCAAUUUUAAAAAGUGAAACUGAGAACAAGAGUUGUCUUAGAUCUGCUGACAAACUGUUAAUAUCAUGACUUGGUAGAAAUCUGUAACAUCAUAGCUCCCCUGCCAACCUUGCCCCUCAGGAGUCAGCAUGGCUGUAUUCACCAGAAAGCACAGUGACUUCAGCAAGGUGGCUGCAUAGUCUCCAGUGUGAACAAAGUCUGGAGAUAAGCAGUCCCAGGCAGGUGAUGCUUCCAUGAAGACACCAACAGCCAGGCUCUUUGCAGUUUAAGCACUCUACCCCUCCCAGGGUGGCCGUAACCUUGUUCCAGAUGUUGCCACAGCAAACAGCAUCACAGCCAUGUUUCCGGCAGCAGAAACAGCAGAGGGGGAGGAAGGAAGGAUUUUAGGAUGCAAAUCCGUUUAUAUGGUGUGCUUCCAGUGACAUUUAAAAUUUGCAGUGAAAGUCCCAUAAUCCAGGUGAGCCUAUAUUUGAAAGUAACCUGUUAGGUCCUAGAGGUCGAUGGGAGGGAGGGGUGUCUGGGACUCCUCUGUUAGCCACAGAAGAGAUGGUUGUGGUAUAUGUCAGUGGCUGGCUGGCAGGAAGACUGGCUGUCCUGCCAUGUUAAGGGUUGUAUUUGAGGGGUAUUCAAAAUAAUGAUGGUCCUUCAGAGGAGAUUUUGAAGAAUUUCGCACGGAACAGGUUUUCCAGGAACUUAAAAAAUAUAUUUAUGUGUGAUUGAUGGUGUCCUCUGAUAAAUUGCAUCAGAAAGUUUAUACUAACAAGAAAUAUAUUUUCAUCCAUUAAAGUACAGAGUAAAAAGAAGAAGAGAAAUGUAGGAAUGAUUACAUGUCAGUAAGGAUAUCCCAAGGUUGAAGAGUGAAGUCAUGAGCAAAUUAUUCAGGCAUUUACUGUUAACAUAGUUGAUUCCUUAAGUCAGCUUUUAUCUGCAUUACUAGAAAUGCAGGAUUUGAAUCAGUGGAGAGGAAAAACUGGGUAAUUAAGUUGGCUCUGGAAGGACUUAGGUUGUAAAGUUAUUUUCACAGUCUCAUAGCUGAAGUCAAAGUAGGAACUACCCAUUAAUUUUUCAGUGCAAUUAUGUAAGCAUCAGUGUAUUAAGCAUCUACUGUGUACCAGGCACCAGGGACAGAGGGAACAUGAUAUUCAUAGACUAAGAGGAGGCAGACCGCAAACAAACAAUAUCAGGUGAUAAAUGGAGAGACUUAGAUAUGGUAUGGUCAGUAGGGAAGUAGACUGUAGAACUUUGGGGUCCUGAUUCUCUGCUUUCUAUUAGACAGUGCUAUCACCAUUCCACACUUGAGGCUAUAUGUCCAGGCAAUUUUGUUAAAAAUCAGUGAUAACCUAAAUAUUUCAUGUAAUGGUAUGUAUGAUUAUAGGACUCAUACAGAGCUGGGGAUAAAGUAACAGUAUACUUUUUAAAGGAAACUUUUUUUA
rnacentral:lncRNA from 1 species